AUGCUUGCUUUGGCAGCACAUAUACAAAAACUGGAAUGACACAAAGAAGAUUAGCAUGGCACCUGCGCAAGGAUGAGUCUGUUAAAAAAUAUUCUUAACCUUUUGAU
ensembl:snRNA U6 U6 spliceosomal RNA